rnacentral:rRNA from 1 species
AACGAACGCUGGCGGCAGGCCUAACACAUGCAAGUCGAACGGAUCCUCCGGGAUUAGUGGCCGACGGGUGAGUAACGCGUGGGAACGUACCCUUUGCUACGGAAUAACUCAGGGAAACUUGAGCUAAUACCGUAUGUGCCCUACUGGGGAAAGAUUUAUCGGCAAAGGAUCGGCCCGCGUUGGAUUAGCUUGUGGGUGGGGUAAUGGCCUACCACGGCGACGAUCCAUAGCUGGUCAGAGAGGAUGGUCAGCCACACUGAGACUAGGACACGGCCCAGACUCCUACGGGAGGCAGCAGUGGGGAAUAUUGGACAAUGGGGGCAAGCCUGAUCCAGCCAUGCCGCGUGAGUGAUGAAGGUCUGAGGAUUGUAAAGCUCUUUCACCGGUGAAGGUAAUGACGGUAGCCGGAGAAGAAGCCCCGGCUAACUUCGUG